CCUACGGGAGGCUGCAGUGGGGGAUAUUGCACAAUGUGGGGAACCCUGAUGCAGCGACGCCGCGUGGGUGAAGGAGCGUUUCGGCGCGUAAAGCCCUAUCGGCAGGGAAGAAGAUGACGGUACCUGACCAAGAAGCACAGGCUAACUACGUGCCAGCAGCCGCGGUAAUACGUAGGGGGCAAGCGGUAUCCGGAUUUACUGGGUGUAAAGGGGCCGCAGACGGCAAUGCAAGCCAGGAGUGAAAGCCCGGGGCCCAACCCCGGGACUGCUCUUGGAACUGCAUGGCUGGAGUACAGGAGUGGCAGGCGGAAUUCCUAGUGGAGCGGUUAAAGGCGUAGAUAUGAGGAGGAACACCGGGGGCGAAGGCGGCCUUCUGGACUGUGACUGACGUUGAGGCCCGAAGGCGUGGGGAGCAAACAGGAUUAGAUACCCUGGUAGUC
rnacentral:rRNA from 1 species